UACGAAGGGUGCAAGCGUUUAAUCGGAAUUACUGGGCGUAAAGCGUGCGUAGGCGGUUUGUUAAGUCUGCUGUGAAAUCCCCGGGCUCAACCUGGGAAUGGCAGUGGAUACUGGCAAGCUAGAGUGUGUCAGAGGAUGGUGGAAUUCCCGGUGUAGCGGUGAAAUGCGUAGAGAUCGGGAGGAACAUCAGUGGCGAAGGCGGCCAUCUGGGACAACACUGACGCUCAUGCACGAAAGCGUGGGGAGCAAACAGG
rnacentral:rRNA from 1 species